GAACUAGAGUUACAGAUGUUUGUGAACAACCUGACUUGGGUGCUGGAAACGGAAUUCAGAUCCUCUGCAAGACCAGCAAGAUGCUAAAUCCCCAUUGUGUAUUCUUCUGAAACACAACCAUCAGAUAGAAUCAAGGAGCACAUAACCUGAAACAAGAAGUUUCUCCAAAACUUGCCAUGGCUUUUCAGGCCCUUCUGAUCUUCACUCAGGUAAACCUCAUGCCAUUCAUCUGCUUCUGCACAUCUUUAGAUAGAAACCUCUGAAAACCACAGCCCCUCAACUCAGUGAAAGGAAACAGUGUCACAUUAUCCAGCCUCCCAUGUCACAUAACCUGAUGUUGACUCCUACAUUCAGAGACCUCCCUAAACCUGCCUAUGUGUGAAAAAUCUGAGAGAACAAUUGUUUAAGAAAAUAAAUAUUUUCUAAUCUUCUUUGAAAA